GAGCGCCCUCUUCACGGUCGUGCCUGACAGCCGUGCCCUCCGUCCCCCGCACCAACUACAGAUACCAAAGGCCACAUGGAGCACGACGACCUCCUGGACGAUCUUCUCUCUUGGACGCCGUCCGCGCCGCGCGGCAACGUCGCCAAGUCCAGCUGCUGCAUCACAGCCGCAGCCACCACCUCUUCCUCUCCGACAUCCCCGCACGUGGUAUCCCGGGAGCCGCGUGCAGGCACGCUGCAGGAGACGCGCGUGAACACGGCGGCGGCGACUACGAAGGCGGGUAACGUGAGCGCCAGCCGCUGUCAUCGCAAUGUCAGCGAUUCAGACGACGAGCAGAACGCUCGGUGUGCAGCGUCAGCGUUUACUGAGACGUCGCCGCCGCCACCCACGUCAGGGCCGCCCUUCUCACUCCCUCCAGACGUGGACGCAAGACUCUACCCGCACCAACGCGCAGGCGUUCAGUGGCUCUAUUCUCGCCAUUGCAAGUCCCGCGCCUGUCUCCUGGCAGAUGAGAUGGGUCUCGGCAAGACGGUGCAGGUGGCCGCCUUUCUUGGCCAGCUCUACGCGCGGCAGAUGAUCAAGACAACGAUUCUUGUCGUCCCACCGACGCUAGUCUCCAUAUGGACGGCCGCCUUCGCCGAGUGGGGCGGCGCGUCGCUCACGCGAGUCGUCGAGGUCAUCCACAAUGAACCUCGCAAGAAGCGGCAGGCGCGGUGGAGGAAGCUGCGCUAUGGACUGCCGUGUGUGCUGCUCACGACCUAUGGCGUGCUGCGGCAGGACGCUGCCGACAUGAGCGUCACCCUCGUGGACUACGUUGUGCUGGACGAGGCGCACCUCAUAAAGGACCCCAACACCUGCGUCUUCAAGAGCGCCUUGACCCUUGCGGCGCGUCACAAGAUCGCGUUGACAGGCACGCCACUCAUGAACACCUUUGAUGACAUGUGGAGCAUCUUCCGCUUCCUCGAUGGGUCGAUACUCGACAUGGACAAGUCCAACUUCAACGCCGUCAGCGCGACGUUGCUGCGCGGCAACGAGCGUGACGCCAGCGCGGCACAGCGCGAGGCCGCCUCGAGCGAGCUAGCGAAGUUGCAGGCCGCCAUCCGCCCUUUCAUGCUUCGCCGGGAGAAGAAGGACGUCGCCGCUCAAGUGCUGUCGAGUAGCAAGGAGGACGUCGUCGUGUGGGUGCGCUUGACAGACGUGCAGCAGCAGCUGUAUGCGGCCUUCUUGGAUUCGAAGGAGGUGGCUUCCGCGCGUGAAGGCGCUGCGGACGUGGACCUGACGGAGGGCACCACUGAUGAGGAUGGUGUGGUCAUCGAAAAGAGCAGCCUAGGCGGUGGUGACUCGUCAGCUGCCGCCACUGUGCGGACGAAUCCUUUGCUUCUACUUACAAUGCUGUCGCAGAUCUGCAACCAUCCCUGGCUGAGCCUCCUCGACGAGGCCUUCGCAGCGGCUCUCUCGCGCAACCCGUACAAGGCGCCAGUGGCAGAGAUGGGCGAUGUCUUUGGCGGCGCGAAGCUGUGGGUGGCGCUGCAGCUGCUCCGGCGCUGCGUCUCGGAGCAGCGCAAGACGCUCGUCUUUUCGCGCUCAAGGCGAUUCCUGCACCUCCUCAGCUUCCUCCUGCAGGAGUGGCGGCUGACGCACACACAGGUGGACGGCAACACGCCGAGCGAGCGCCGCUGCGCCGAGGUGGAACGCUUCAACAACGACGCGGGCGUGUGGGUAUGUCUGCUCACGACGCAGGUCGGCGGCGUCGGGCUCACCUUCAACGCCGCCUCGGCGGUGGUGCUGCUCGACAUCAGCUGGAACCCGUCUGCGGAUGCCCAGGCCAUCGACCGCGUCCACCGCAUUGGCCAGCGGCGCGACGUUGUUGUCUUUCGCCUGGUAACGUGUGGCACGGUUGAGGAGAAGGUGUACCGCAACCAAAUCUUCAAGCGCAUGGCAGCACUGCAGUCCAUGAAGGGCUGCGGCGGCGGCGGCGGAGAGGGCCGCCGGCCCCCGACACCGGAUGCUGGUGGCGAGCUCUAUCGAUACUUCACGCGCCUGCAGCUGCGCAACAUGUUUGCCAUGGACGACGGUGAGCAGAGAAGCACAGCGGAGCAACUGGAGCUGCUGCACCCCGGGCGCGUCCGCGCGCAACUGCGCGAGGAGCUCCGAAGGAUCGACGGUGUGUAUGACGUAAGCGACAACGCAUGCGUGCUGACGGAGGCGGUGGACGCGGACGCGGCGGGCCGCGACGAAGCGCAGCUGGCGCACUCGCCUUCGGCCUCGCCGGAGCGCACGUGGCGCUCAGGCUCUGUCUCGCCACCGCCAUCGCAAGCAUCGCUGUCCCAGCAGGCGCUGGCGCGCGUGCGCAGCCGCUCAGAUGGCGCAGGAAGCAACGAUGAUGCUCCUCGGCGCCGCCGCGUCGACAUAGAGGAUACGCUUGCCACCGUACAUGUCGCCACAGAGGGCUGCGGCGCUUCCGCGAAUCCUGUGGAGGCGUUCGACGCGGCUGCACGCAUGAACAUGCCGGCGACAUCUCCGGUGGCCGUGCUGCGGGGCACCCAGCAUCGCAGUAACUCGCCGUUUCCGUCGCUUCUCUCUGCCAGCCGUGCCACGACGACGACACCACUGAUGAGCCAGUUUGAGGGCUGCACGAGCGCAUCACUGGCGGCCCCACGUCCGACAGAGGUGACUGCAGGCGAUGACGCAGAGAUGGUGCCGUCGCCAUUAUCCCUGCUGGGCGACUCGCUUGCGCACGCCGACGACGCCGUUUUGUCGGCAGCAGCAGCAGCCGUGGCACGGGGGCGGGCAAGCGAUGGCUGCAGCUCCGCCGACUUCGCAUCCUGCCGCUCUAGCUUUUGAGAAGUGUGGAUGGGUUUGCUCCCGGCGCCCCUCCCCCUCUGUCACCCUGUCUCGCCUCCGUCGACCCUUUUGUGUGCAGCGCUGCCCAUGCUUCCUUUUCUCUCCCGUUCUUCUUUUCGGUUUCCUCACCGCACUCGAUGCUCGCACCCUCCUCUACGCCCCUGUGCGUGCACGGCAGGUGGUUGUGGGUGGCGGGUGCGUGCAUGUGUGCGUGCGUGCAUAAGAACGACCUUCUAGACGGCUUCCCCCACCUUGUGUUUUCGCGUACUCGCACGAGUGCGUCGUCGAACGCUCACUUCGCUACUCACACGUUUUGU
rnacentral:misc_RNA from 1 species